GAAUCCUACGGGAGGCAGCAGUGGGGAAUCUUCCGCAAUGGGCGAAAGCCUGACGGAGCAAUGCCGCGUGAGUGAAGAAGGCCUUCGGGUUGUAAAACUCUGUCCUUAUCGAAGAGAGGUAGGUAUGUGAAUAAUGCACCUAUAGGACGGUAGAUAAGGAGGAAGCCCCGGCUAACUACGUGCCAGCAGCCGCGGUAAUACGUAGGGGGCGAGCGUUGUCCGGAAUCACUGGGCGUAAAGGGCGCGUAGGCGGUUUAAUAAGUCAGUGGUGAAAACUGAGGGCUCAACCCUCAGCCUGCCACUGA
rnacentral:rRNA from 1 species